CUGAGCCAUUUCUCCAGCCCCCAUAAUUCUAUUUCUAAAGUGUCCUUUUCUUUCGAAAUAUACUUACAUAAAGUGUGGCCUUAACCAAAAAUUUUAAAUCUUGUUCUUCAGCAUUAGUUAUAUUCAAUUACUAUUGUCUUACAUUCAUGAUGUUCUAUCGUUAUUCUUCUGUUAUUCUUCUCUCAUUCAUUACAUCUCAAUUCCCUCCACCAAUUCCAUGCAGCUCUCCCAAUUAUCUCUCCUCUCACCCAGAUCCACACCUUUUCCCAUUAUGUUCAAAAGAGAGAGGGGGAGGAAAGGGACAGGGUAUAGGGAAAGGGGAAAGGGAAAGGGUGAGAGAGGUUACACAAGGAUGUGUCAACCAAACACCAUAAGUUAGCAUCAAAAGUUACGGUAAGACAAAACUGCUUAUUAAGACUGGCCGAAGAAACCAUCAGAGAUUUAAUUACUUCUGGAUGAAGUAAUUGAAAGUAUGCAUUAGGAUGGAUGGUAUAUUUACUUGUUAAAAAUUAUUUUUAAAACUCAUUUGUAAAUUAUUCUGAUGAGUGGAUUUAGAACCACAGCAAUUCGUAAAAGAUGCUGUCUAGAAAAUCCGACUGAUAUAAAACCACAUUAAAGCUGAGAAAGUCCUUUUCCUUUCUGUAUCCUCAACAACAGCAUGUAUCCGAUUGCAGCAAACUGAUCCAGUAAAUAGAAGGUCUACAGGAAAUGAGUUAUAAAAGCGCUGCGCAGUGUGUUGCCCCUCUCUUUCAGACCCUGGCUUCUGGCAAGAGAAAAUAUGGUGAAACUACAAAGACCAGAAAUCCUUUCGGUUUUCAACUUCCCUUGGAGCCAAGCCUGGGAGUGACACCCACUUCAUUCAAUUCCUGUGGUCGUGGGAACACUGGAAAGUGGUUUGUUUUCCCUUUUGUUACAUUCAGGAUUUCUUUGAUUGAAUCUUGUCUUCGCAAUAAUUACUGAUAAUACAAGUCUCGCCUUUAUUUUUUCCGUUAAUCUUGGAAUGCGGCUAAAAGAAGGAAGUGAACGAUUCAGAAUUAAUUGAGGGAUUACAGAAGUCACGAUUCAAUUCAAGACAUCGGGUCGAACACUACAAUCUUUGAAACAUUUGCAGUCGAGAAUUGGAGGGCAGUUAAUAAAUAUGCAAUUUCAUUCUUUUAUCUGCGGCCAUUCCCAUUGAUCAGAAUCAUUUAUUAAAAUUUUUAAAUUUUAUUAAACUAACAGAUAUCACUGUGGGAUUAUAUUGGCUACAUUUCUAAGGAAAAGUGACCCUCGUGCAUCAGGCAGUCAUCAGUGCUAAGGGAGCCCAGCUUUAUAAACUACAGUUGAAUUUGUUUCUGAAUGGGCGGGGAAGGAUUUCAUCUGGAAGCAAUGGGAAGAAAAGGGACUAAAUUUUUCAAAGAAGAAAAAGUAGAUGAAAGUUACCAUGUUGUGACCUGUAAUUUCACAUUGGGAGAGAUAAACGUGGAGUACUUCUCUGAGGACACUUUGGAUUACACUAAUUAGAAGGAACCUUAGGCUGCAGUUUGUGAAUGAAGUAGAGAGUUGGACAUUCUAUCUUUGUGAAUAAUUGAUGGAAUUUUGAUGGGGAAUUGCACUGGAACUGCAGAUCGCUUUUGUAAACUAUAGAAGCGGAUGUCUGUACCAAAGAUGAAAGAUGAGAUUUGAGCUUGAACUUCAUCAAAAUGCAGGUUACAUUGUGAAAACAAGGAAGAGCAGAUCACAGGAGGUAGACACGCAAAAAUAUGAAUCUCAAGAUCAUCCUAAGCAAGUCUAUGAACUGACUGAGUCCAUUUCAAAGGAAAGCUUUGUACAAAUUUGGCAAUUAUUCUACAGGUGAGUAACACUCUUCCUCCAAAUAUUUAAGGUUCUCCUUUCUUUAUGUAAAAGCUUAACCUUCCAUCUAUAUCUUGUUUUUCCAAUUAUAAUUGAUAGAUAAUAUGUUUCAGUACUUCUAAAUUCAAAUGUGAGUUUUUUUUUAAUUUGAUAUAUUUUCUCUAAUUCUCAAUGUCAGCAUAAAAAAAUUGAAAUUUGAAGUCAAUAUACCUAAAUUAUUCUCUGUCACUGGAAUUUAUGAAACUGGUGCUUUAGAGAAGGGGAAAUGUCAGGCUAUGAUUUAAUCAGUGGAGAUCCUUAGGAGUCAGGGUGAUUAUGGAACCUAAGAAAGAAAAAUGUCCCAGACUAUAUAACUUGGCCUGACAGCUCAAUAUCUUUAUACUAUAAUUUAUGUCCAUGUUGUCUCCAAAUAAUAACACAGCUUAUGGACAAAGAGAGAAAUUUAGAUACCCUCACAUGAUUGUGAGAAAAUUGUCAGUCAUUCAUUUUGACAUUUCUUCCUGUAUAGGAUGUUUUUCUUUAUACUGUCAUUAAUUUCCAACCAUAGCUAAGUCUUGGAGAAUGUGGUGCAUAUAAUGAGGUUUUAUAGUUUUGUGUCAGUCCAUCAGGUCUUAUGUUACAGUCCUUGAACCAUUUGCAGUCGAGUUUAAGAUGGUAAUCGAUAAAGAUAUAUUUUCAUUCUUCUAUCUACAGUUUUCCAGGUUAAUAAGAAGCAUUUAGUAUGUUUUUCAUUUUUUUUAAAUGACUGUAUCAAUAUAGGAUUAUACAUUAUUCAUCCUUUCUAUUCAACUGAUCAAUGUAAUAUAUUGUUAUGACAUUUAAGUCGUAUCAUUUUAAAGUAGUAUCAUUGUUGUGUAUGAAGACUAUCAAAUUUUCUGCGUUAAACUCUAAUCCUAUCAACUUUGUGGGUGAAACAGUAACAAGAGAUUUCUAGUUGAAAAUUAAGGAUAACAUAUAUAUAUAUAUAUAUAUGUAUAUAUAUAAAAACAUCAUAUUCAAAUGAAGAUAACUUAACAUUCCCAUCUGUAUCACAUUUUACUUCUUCAACAUUUUUCUAUCGAUAAUUCUUGCAUUCCCUAAUACUGUGAUAAGUAAUGGAAUGAAUUUGUCUUGUUCCAAAGUAUUAUCAUUAAUACAUGUCUCCACUUACUAAAAUUUUGGCUUUUGUUAUAUAUUACCUAUAUUAAGUCAAUAUAUGUUCUCUAUAUCCUUACCAGUGGUAAUAUUUCUGAAAAAAUAAUUUGACACUUGCUCAUCCAGCAGCCAUCGAUGUUAAUUUCAUAUGAUCAAACUAUUGGUGAGUACACAUUUAUCGUAAUUGGAAUUUUAAUGGUUUUUCAUUAAUUAUCGACCAACACUGAAUGCAACCAGAAUUAUUUCUCAGAAACCCCUUAGAACAGCACAAAUUCUUGGAUAUAACCUGAAACACAUAUUUUUGUGUGUGAAAAUGACCAUUUAGAAUAGCAUCAAAUAAUUUUAUGCUAGGACGUACAAUGUCCGUCGACAUGUUUUUUAUGUAUGUUUGCAGUGCCAUGCCUCAUUUUUUAGCCUCUGAAGGAAGCCUCAAUUGCGAUAAAGAAAGCGGUUGUUUAGUCCUAUAGACCGUUUCACUGGUACUGUACUUUUGGCACAUUUUGCCUCUCAUGUCAUUAUUGUAGCCUGCAAUGUCCAGCAGUACGUAAAUAAAUCACUAUCUUUGAUCUUGCUAAUAAUCUGAAUAGCACUUCCAUGUAGUAUUAAAGAGAGCUAACAGAA
rnacentral:sRNA from 1 species